CAUGUAGCUCUUGCACCGCUAAAAGAAACGUAUUGCAGUUGCUUCCCUACAAAUAAAAAAUCGUACUCUUGCCCGAUCCCCUUUCUCCUUUCCUUCUUCUCUCCGCUCGCUCAUUCCAAAAUUCCUACGACCGAAUGAGAUCCGACUGGUAACUCAGCUACCAUCAGUUUGCUCUCCCUUUAGCUUGCUCGUCCUCGACUGAGGCACCUCCCAGCUCGACUCGCAUGUGAUGUGGGCUUGGAUCUUGUCUUCCGCUGCCAGCUUGAAUCCAUCUUCAGCAUGAGGAUGGCGGCAGCGUUGUCUUCCCCUAGCGCGCGAGCCAGACGCAUCGUCGUCGUUCCCAGUCGAGGCAGCCAGACACAUCGUCGUCUUCCUCCACAUCGGCAGCUUUCUUCGUCCUACAGGGGGAUGUGGAACCUCGAGUGUGCUCCCUAUAGAAGCAGCGCUGCAAUAUGAGAUGACACCACUGCUAGUACUAUCUUUCCUUCGGAACACAACUUUGCUGUGAUUGCCUCCGUAGGUGGAAACGCAACCUUUCGAUGCAGGGAUCUUGAAAGUGCAUUUUGAACUGAAAUAUUCUUCAACACACGUCAUUGCCUGAUAUGUGUUGACAGAUGGUGGGCGCUGGUCGGUAGCGCGCCGAGGCCACUUCUUC